rnacentral:tRNA from 1 species
UCGGGAGUCGUCCAAUCGGUGAGGGCCUCCGGCUUUGAACCGGAAGAUCGGGGUUCGAGUCCCCGCUCCCGGG